GGUCGGGUGGUGGAGCAGGGCGACCACGCGGCGCUCGUGGCGCGGCCGGAGGGCGUCUACCGUCGGCUGUUCGAGCGGCAGUCGUCGGAUCUC
rnacentral:tRNA from 1 species